UACGGAGGGUCCAAGCGUUAUCCGGAAUCAUUGGGUUUAAAGGGUCCGUAGGCGGUCUUAUAAGUCAGUGGUGAAAUCUUCUAGCUCAACUAGGAAACUGCCAUUGAUACUGUAAGACUUGAAUUUUUGUGAAGUAACUAGAAUAUGUAGUGUAGCGGUGAAAUGCUUAGAUAUUACAUGGAAUACCAAUUGCGAAGGCAGGUUACUAACAAACGAUUGACGCUGAUGGACGAAAGCGUGGGGAGCGAACAGG
rnacentral:rRNA from 1 species